rnacentral:rRNA from 1 species
UUAAGCGACUAAGCGUACACGGUGGAUGCCCUGGCAGUCAGAGGCGAUGAAGGACGUGCUAAUCUGCGAUAAGCGUCGGUAAGGUGAUAUGAACCGUUAUAACCGGCGAUUUCCGAAUGGGGAAACCCAGUGUGUUUCGACACACUAUCAUUAACUGAAUCCAUAGGUUAAUGAGGCGAACCGGGGGAACUGAAACAUCUAAGUACCCCGAGGAAAAGAAAUCAACCGAGAUUCUCCCAGUAGCGGCGAGCGAACGGGGAGCAGCCCAGAGCCUGAAUCAGUGUGUGUGUUAGUGGAAGCGUCUGGAAAGGCGCGCGAUACAGGGUGACAGCCCCGUACACAAAAAUGCACAUGCUGUGAGCUCGAUGAGUAGGGCGGGACACGUGGUAUCCUGUCUGAAUAUGGGGGGACCAUCCUCCAAGGCUAAAUACUCCUGACUGACCGAUAGUGAACCAGUACCGUGAGGGAAAGGCGAAAAGAACCCCGGCGAGGGGAGUGAAAAAGAACCUGAAACCGUGUACGUACAAGCAGUGGGAGCACGCUUAGGCGUGUGACUGCGUACCUUUUGUAUAAUGGGUCAGCGACUUAUAUUCUGUAGCAAGGUUAACCGAAUAGGGGAGCCGAAGGGAAACCGAGUCUUAACUGGGCGUUAAGUUGCAGGGUAUAGACCCGAAACCCGGUGAUCUAGCCAUGGGCAGGUUGAAGGUUGGGUAACACUAACUGGAGGACCGAACCGACUAAUGUUGAAAAAUUAGCGGAUGACUUGUGGCUGGGGGUGAAAGGCCAAUCAAACCGGGAGAUAGCUGGUUCUCCCCGAAAGCUAUUUAGGUAGCGCCUCGUGAAUUCAUCUCCGGGGGUAGAGCACUGUUUCGGCAAGGGGGUCAUCCCGACUUACCAACCCGAUGCAAACUGCGAAUACCGGAGAAUGUUAUCACGGGAGACACACGGCGGGUGCUAACGUCCGUCGUGAAGAGGGAAACAACCCAGACCGCCAGCUAAGGUCCCAAAGUCAUGGUUAAGUGGGAAACGAUGUGGGAAGGCCCAGACAGCCAGGAUGUUGGCUUAGAAGCAGCCAUCAUUUAAAGAAAGCGUAAUAGCUCACUGGUCGAGUCGGCCUGCGCGGAAGAUGUAACGGGGCUAAACCAUGCACCGAAGCUGCGGCAGCGACACUAUGUGUUGUUGGGUAGGGGAGCGUUCUGUAAGCCUGUGAAGGUGUGCUGUGAGGCAUGCUGGAGGUAUCAGAAGUGCGAAUGCUGACAUAAGUAACGAUAAAGCGGGUGAAAAGCCCGCUCGCCGGAAGACCAAGGGUUCCUGUCCAACGUUAAUCGGGGCAGGGUGAGUCGACCCCUAAGGCGAGGCCGAAAGGCGUAGUCGAUGGGAAACAGGUUAAUAUUCCUGUACUUGGUGUUACUGCGAAGGGGGGACGGAGAAGGCUAUGUUGGCCGGGCGACGGUUGUCCCGGUUUAAGCGUGUAGGCUGGUUUUCCAGGCAAAUCCGGAAAAUCAAGGCUGAGGCGUGAUGACGAGGCACUACGGUGCUGAAGCAACAAAUGCCCUGCUUCCAGGAAAAGCCUCUAAGCAUCAGGUAACAUCAAAUCGUACCCCAAACCGACACAGGUGGUCAGGUAGAGAAUACCAAGGCGCUUGAGAGAACUCGGGUGAAGGAACUAGGCAAAAUGGUGCCGUAACUUCGGGAGAAGGCACGCUGAUAUGUAGGUGAAGUCCCUCGCGGAUGGAGCUGAAAUCAGUCGAAGAUACCAGCUGGCUGCAACUGUUUAUUAAAAACACAGCACUGUGCAAACACGAAAGUGGACGUAUACGGUGUGACGCCUGCCCGGUGCCGGAAGGUUAAUUGAUGGGGUUAGCCGCAAGGCGAAGCUCUUGAUCGAAGCCCCGGUAAACGGCGGCCGUAACUAUAACGGUCCUAAGGUAGCGAAAUUCCUUGUCGGGUAAGUUCCGACCUGCACGAAUGGCGUAAUGAUGGCCAGGCUGUCUCCACCCGAGACUCAGUGAAAUUGAACUCGCUGUGAAGAUGCAGUGUACCCGCGGCAAGACGGAAAGACCCCGUGAACCUUUACUAUAGCUUGACACUGAACAUUGAGCCUUGAUGUGUAGGAUAGGUGGGAGGCUUUGAAGUGUGGACGCCAGUCUGCAUGGAGCCGACCUUGAAAUACCACCCUUUAAUGUUUGAUGUUCUAACGUUGACCCGUAAUCCGGGUUGCGGACAGUGUCUGGUGGGUAGUUUGACUGGGGCGGUCUCCUCCUAAAGAGUAACGGAGGAGCACGAAGGUUGGCUAAUCCUGGUCGGACAUCAGGAGGUUAGUGCAAUGGCAUAAGCCAGCUUGACUGCGAGCGUGACGGCGCGAGCAGGUGCGAAAGCAGGUCAUAGUGAUCCGGUGGUUCUGAAUGGAAGGGCCAUCGCUCAACGGAUAAAAGGUACUCCGGGGAUAACAGGCUGAUACCGCCCAAGAGUUCAUAUCGACGGCGGUGUUUGGCACCUCGAUGUCGGCUCAUCACAUCCUGGGGCUGAAGUAGGUCCCAAGGGUAUGGCUGUUCGCCAUUUAAAGUGGUACGCGAGCUGGGUUUAGAACGUCGUGAGACAGUUCGGUCCCUAUCUGCCGUGGGCGCUGGAGAACUGAGGGGGGCUGCUCCUAGUACGAGAGGACCGGAGUGGACGCAUCACUGGUGUUCGGGUUGUCAUGCCAAUGGCACUGCCCGGUAGCUAAAUGCGGAAGAGAUAAGUGCUGAAAGCAUCUAAGCACGAAACUUGCCCCGAGAUGAGUUCUCCCUGACUCCUUGAGAGUCCUGAAGGAACGUUGAAGACGACGACGUUGAUAGGCCGGGUGUGUAAGCGCAGCGAUGCGUUGAGCUAACCGGUACUAAUGAACCGUGAGGCUUAACCU